rnacentral:rRNA from 1 species
UACGGGGGGUGCGAGCGUUGUCCGGAAUCACUGGGCGUAAAGGGCGCGUAGGCGGUCGUGACAAGUCACUUGUGAAAUCUCCGGGCUUAACUCGGAACGGUCAAGUGAUACUGUCGGGCUAGAGUGCAGAAGGGGCAACUGGAAUUCUCGGUGUAGCGGUGAAAUGCGUAGAUAUCGAGAGGAACACCUGCGGCGAAGGCGGGUUGCUGGGCUGACACUGACGCUGAGGCGCGAAAGCCAGGGGAGCGAACGGG